rnacentral:rRNA from 1 species
UACGGAGGGUGCAAGCGUUAUCCGGAUUCACUGGGUUUAAAGGGUGCGUAGGUGGGUUGGUAAGUCAGUGGUGAAAUCUCCGUGCUUAACAUGGAAACUGCCAUUGAUACUACUGAUCUUGAAUUUUCUGGAGGUAAGCGGAAUAUGUCAUGUAGCGGUGAAAUGCUUAGAUAUGACAUAGAACACCAAAUUGCGAAAGGCAGCUCACUACACAAUCUUGACGCUGAGGCACGAAAAGCGUGGGGAUCAAACAGG